rnacentral:rRNA from 1 species
CAUGCCUGCCUAGUAUUAGAUGCACUGGUUCAAGGUUGUACUAGAGUAAAUAAAACUGAACCCAAAAGCCAGGUAGUCCUGGGCCUGGCUAGUACUUGGAUGGAAAACCACCUAGGAAUCUCAGGUUAGAGUAAUGU